UACGUAGGGUGCAAGCGUUGUCCGGAAUUCUUGGGCGUAAAGAGCUCGUAGGCGGUCUGUCGCGUCGGCUGUGAAAACCCGAGGCUCAACCUCGGGCCUGCAGUCGAUACGGGCAAACUGGAGUGUUGCAGGGGAGACUGGAAUUCCUGGUGUAGCGGUGAAAUGCGCAGAUAUCAGGAGGAACACCGGUGGCGAAGGCGGGUCUCUGGGCAACAACUGACGCUGAGGAGCGAAAGCGUGGGGAGCGAACAGG
rnacentral:rRNA from 1 species